rnacentral:rRNA from 1 species
UUCUUGGUCAUUUAGAGGAAGUAAAAGUCGUAACAAGGUCUCCGUUGGUGAACCAGCGGAGGGAUCAUUACUGAGUUUACGCUCUAUAACCCUUUGUGAACAUACCUAUAACUGUUGCUUCGGCGGGUAGGGUCUCCGCGACCCUCCCGGCCUCCCGCCUCCGGGCGGGUCGGCGCCCGCCGGAGGAUAACCAAACUCUGAUUUAACGACGUUUCUUCUGAGUGGUACAAGCAAAUAAUCAAAACUUUUAACAACGGAUCUCUUGGUUCUGGCAUCGAUGAAGAACGCAGCGAAAUGCGAUAAGUAAUGUGAAUUGCAGAAUUCAGUGAAUCAUCGAAUCUUUGAACGCACAUUGCGCCCGCCAGCAUUCUGGCGGGCAUGCCUGUUCGAGCGUCAUUUCAACCCUCAAGCUCUGCUUGGUGUUGGGGCCCUACAGCUGAUGUAGGCCCUCAAAGGUAGUGGCGGACCCUCCCGGAGCCUCCUUUGCGUAGUAACUUUACGUCUCGCACUGGGAUCCGGAGGGACUCUUGCCGUAAAACCCCCCAANUCCAAAGGUGACCUCGGAUCAGU